AGUUGACAGUUGACACUUCGAUAUAUAAGUCAUUUUGUUUGUAAGAAAUUUAUAAUUACGGCUCUGUUCAAUUCCUGAGUAAAAUUACAAUUAAUAUCAUUAUUUGCUGAUAAAAACCUCAAACAAAACUGUUGAAAGUAUGAAUGAAAAUCGAACGAAAUAAAUGAAAUAUUUUAACAAAAGGCAUCAUUUAAGAGAGUCAAAAACAUACCGAAAGAAGGGCAACAAGGAUACAAAGAUCCCAAAUUAUGUGAUAAUUAUCGUGGCAUCUUUAAUGGGAAGAAUAUAUGAAAGAAACAGGAUUAGAGAACAAAUUCAAGGCAAAAAAAAGGAAAAAAAAACAGGCUGAAUUAACAGCAGGAAGGUCGAUAAUAGAUCACAUCUACAUAAUUCAACUCCUAGAAAUGGCUUAAAGGCAGAAGUUUCCGAAAUGGAAGAUACUUUUGCUGCGGGGACAAUUUUAACCCAAAACUAUGAUUCUGCGCAAAUCACAAGUGAAACCCUUCAACUUCCAUUAGCUACCCACUGAAUACCUUGCUUAUACCAUACAAUUACAUGCACUACUACUCUUCAUGUUCUUCCUAAUAAAAGGAAAAUGGUAAAACAUCUAUUAGGACUAACAUCGACCAGUGGGGUUUUUAUAUAAGCUCCAUAAAUCGAUUUAAAUUCAUGCAUCUCUAUUUUUAUGUUUCAAUUAUCAUUAUCAUACUUUUUCUAAUUCUUUUUUUAAGAAUUAAUAACAGAUUCUCUGAAAAAUAAUUUAUGAUACUCCCAAACAAUUAAAAUUGUUUCAAAUCCUUCUAAAAGAAUCGAAAACUAUUUUCAAACCCCUUUUGCAUCAACAAAAUGGUCAAAUAUAAAUCUAAUACUUACUUCGAAUCCUCAUAGCUUCGUAAAACGAGAACGUUUUCUAAAUGAGCUCCAGGAAUACAGGGUCUUCUAGCUUUAUUACCAGUUGCAAUGAAUAAUUUAUUGUAACCAAGACAGGAAUUGUUUCUUAAAGUUACUGUUUUAUUAACAGUGUCAACAGAGGUGGCAUCUAUACCUUUUACUACGUUUAUAUUAUAUUUUUGAUAGAAAUCUUCGUUUCUAAGCAAAGCUGUAUCUAUAUUUAAACCGAUUUGUUUGCUGAGUCUCACCUAAAAUAAAUAUUAAAAAAACGCAUUCAUAUGUUUAUUUUUCCUUUUUUUUUAAAUAAAUUUUAUUAUUUCUUCAGGAAAAAAAUCGAACAUCGAUUAAAUCUUUAAAAGAAUGCAAAAAAGUGAUCAAUUAAUUAUUUUUAUUCAUAAAUCAAAUUGAUAUCUUCUUUUUAUAUUGAAGUAAUUUCAUUCAAGCUCCUUCAUAUUCUACACUGUUGGCUCCAAAAUUAAAAACGAACAAUUAAGUCAGGAAUAUAUGACCCUACAACUAAUCUCGCGGACCUAAGAGUCUCGGAACCUUUUUCCAAGAAGAAAUCAGAAAUCUAACUCAUUCUAGCAACUGGUACUAAAAAGCUCUUUCAAUAAACAAAAAGGAGCUAAAAAGAGAUACCAAUUUUAAAUAAUAAGAGAAAUGAAACAGAAAGUUUGUAAAACCACCUUAAACCUGUAAAUAUUAUAGAAAUUGAUAAUUUGAGUGAAUAAUUAUCAAUAGUAGUUGAAUAAAUGGAAUUAUGUAAUUGAAUUGAUAUUGUACUUACUCUGUCAUAAGGCAGAUAAUUUUCUUUACAUAUCAUAGUGAUAUCUCCUUCAUAAUCUUCUUGUCUAAGAGUUUCCGCACAAGUAGCAGCAGCUGGACCACCACCAAUGAUGACAAUAGAACUUUUAUCAAACUGACAUUUCCCUACCAUGUGUUUUAUCCUUUUAUUAGUGAGUAAAUCAUCUUUUUUAGCCCUGACUUUAACAUUAUCGCCUUCAAUAGUUACUUUAUAGCAAGGGAGUGAAUCAAGACCUUUAAUAAUUUAAUAAAAUAUAAAUUCAAAUAUUUUUUGUUAUAUUAUAUAAAUAAACACCUGGAUAUUCUUCAAUGUCUCCAUUUGAUAAAUUAAAGCAAGCUCCAUGCCAUGGACACCUAACUCUCCCAUUACCAAUAGCUCCAUUUACAAGCGGAGCUCCGUAAUGGGUACAUUUAGAACCUAAAGCACUUAUAAUGUUAUUUUGUUUUACAAGCAACACUUCACCUUCAUCUUGUAACUGAAAUGUUUUCAGUUUAUUUUCUUCUAAAUCACUUACUUUACAAACUACGUCUUCAACGUAAUCGUCUGACGCUGUAAUCACGGAAAGAAAGUAUAAAAAAAUAUUAUAAGUUACGAAAAA